UAACGGCGAGUGAACUGGGAAGAGCUCAUCGUCGAASGACUCUGCGUAAGCAGCUGUUGAAUGUGACGUAUAGGAGUAGCAUUUCUGUGGUAACGCAUGUUCGAAGUUCCUUUGAGUUGGACCAUAAUCCUGAGAGGGUGCAAGACCCGUUUGAACAGCGAUGCUACAGAUACCGUUGCUUCUUGGAGUCGGGUUGCUUGAAAGUGCAGCCUAAAGCUGGUGAUAAACUUCAUCAAAAGCUAAAUAUUACUACGAAUUCGAUAGCAAACAAGUACCGUGAGGGAAAGUUGCAAAGGACUUUGAAAAGAGAGUUCAAGAGAACGUGAAAACACUAAUGUGGAAGCGGAGAGAGUUGUCAAAUCUGGGUUGCUAAGUCUGAUCGGGAGCCCCUCAGGGGAUACCGUAGGAUGGCGCCGCCUAAGAUGCGCUGGUAGCGUCAGAUGUGAUUGCUGACCCGGUAUGUGUUGCCCACUUCGGUGGUGUCUUGCUGCUGGUUAGGUAGUUCAUGUCAGACGUUUAGCUUUGCUUGCAGAGUACCGGUGUUAACGACAAUCACCUCUCCGGCCCGUCUUGAAACACGGACCGAGGAGUGUAACUUGUGCGCGAGUCGGAGGGUGGUAAACCCAACGGCGUAAUUAACGUAAAGGUUGAUUAAUCAACUGACAUGGGAGGCUUCCUUGUGGAGUUGCACCAUGGCCCUGUCUUGGAAGCUUGCUUCUGGGCAGAGGAAGAGCGUACAGGUUGCGACCCGAAAGAUGGUGAACUAUGCUUGAGCAGAACGAAGCCAGAGGAAACUCUGGUGGAAGUUCGUAUCGGUUCUGACGUGCAAAUCGAUCGAUAGACUUGAGUAUAGGGGCGAAAGACUAAUCGAACCAUCUAGUAGUGUU
rnacentral:rRNA from 1 species